UACGUAGGGUCCGAGCGUUGUCCGGAAUUAUUGGGCGUAAAGAGCUCGUAGGCGGUUUGUCGCGUCUGCUGUGAAAUCCCGAGGCUCAACCUCGAGUCUGCAGUGGGUACGGGCAGACUGGAGUGCGGUAGGGGAGAAUGGAAUUCCUGGUGUAGCGGUGGAAUGCGCAGAUAUCAGGAGGAACACCGAUGGCGAAGGCAGUUCUCUGGGCCGUAACUGACGCUGAGGAGCGAAAGCGUGGGGAGCGAACAGG
rnacentral:rRNA from 1 species